AAGCAUUACAGACCUUUUAGAAUUUGUCUACUAGGUUUUUUGGUUUUUACCAGAAGAUACCCCU